AGCGAACGCUGGCGGCAGGCCUAACACAUGCAAGUCGAACGAACUCUUCGGAGUUAGUGGCGGACGGGUGAGUAACACGUGGGAACGUGCCCUUUGGUACGGAAUAACUCAGGGAAACUUGAGCUAAUACCGUAUGUGCCCUUCGGGGGAAAGAUUUAUCGCCAUUGGAGCGGCCCGCGUCUGAUUAGCUAGUUGGUGAGGUAAAGGCUCACCAAGGCGACGAUCAGUAGCUGGUCUGAGAGGAUGACCAGCCACAUUGGGACCGAGACACGGCCCAAACUCCUACGGGAGGCAGCAGUGGGGAAUCUUGCGCAAUGGGCGAAAGCCUGACGCAGCCAUGCCGCGUGGAUGAUGAAGGUCUUAGGAUUGUAAAAUCCUUUCACCGGUGAAGAUAAUGACUGUAGCCGGAGAAGAAGCCCCGGCUAACUUCGUGCCAGCAGCCGCCGUAAGAC
rnacentral:rRNA from 1 species